AAAUCUUGUGUUGUUUGUUAACUCUGUGAUAACUCUUUAGGCAUUCCUUCGAACAAGACGUAAGAACAUACAGAAAAUGACAGCCCUCCUACUAGUGAUUAGCCUGGUCGUGAUUAGCGUGGUGGUGAUUAUUAUCCCACCGUGCGGGGCUGCACUUCGAGGAGAAAAGGCUUAGAAAUCAAGCUGAAUCAACGAAACCCCCGCACCGAAAGGUCCGGGGGUUUUUUUAUGUUUCGAUAAAACUGGCGAGGAGCAGAUAUGACAAGUUGCAGCACAAAAUUCUGUUUUCCGCAAACUAA
rfam:Shimwellia blattae DSM 4481 = NBRC 105725, complete genome.